rnacentral:lncRNA from 1 species
CUUCCCUGUCAGAGUAUGUGUCUCGCAUAAAGGAGACACAGAAGUCCAUCUACUAUAUCACUGGUGAGAGCAAAGAGCAUGUGGCCAACUUUGCCUUCAUGGAGCGUGUGUGGAAACAGGGCUUUGAGGUGGUGUACAUGACUGAGCCCAUUGAGAGUACUGAGUGCAGCAGCUCAAGGAGUUCGAUGGCAAGAGCCUGGUCUCUGUGACCAAGGAGGUCCUGGAGCUACCAGAAGAUGAGGAAGAGAAAAAGAAAAUGGAGGAGAGCAAGGCAAAGUUUGAGAAUCUCUGCAAACUCAUGAAGGAGAUCUUGGACAAGAAGAUUGAAAGAGUGACUAUCUCCAAUAGGCUUGUGUCUUCACCCUGCUGCAUUGUGACAAGCACCUAUGGCUGGACAGCCAACAUGGAACAGAUCGUGAAGGCCCGGGCACUGCGAGACAACUCUACAAUGGAAUACGUGAUGGCCAAGAAACACCUAGACAUCAACCCUGACCACCCCAUGGUGGAGACUCUGCUGCAGAAGGCUCAGGCAGACAAAAACGACAAAGCUGUCAAAGACCUGGUGGUGCUGCUGUUUGAGACUGCUCUGCUCUCCUCUGGCUUCUCACUUGAGGACCCCCAAACCAACUCCAACUGCAUCUACCGCAUGAUUAAACUAGGCCUGGGCAUUGAUGAAGAUGAGGUCACUGCAGAAGAGCCCAGUGCUGCUGUUCCUGAUGAGACCCCCCCCCACUGGAGGGUGAUGAGGAUGCCUCUCGCAUGGAAGAAGUGGAUUAAAGGCUCCUGGGAAGCCCCCGCCCUCUGUAUAGUAUCCCUGUGGCUCCCCCAACAGCCUUAACUGGCCCUGACCCACCUGGCUCUCUGCUCAUGUCUACAAGAAUCUCUUCUAUCCUCUCCUUGUGCCUUAAGACAGGAAGAUCCCCCCACACACAAUAGCAGGGUUGAGUGUUGUGUAUUGUGUUUUUUUUGUUUGUUCUAUUUUGUUCUGAAAUCAAAAGUAUGCAAAAUAAAGAAGAUGCAGUUUAAAAAAA